rnacentral:rRNA from 1 species
CCCGCACAAGCGGUGGAGCAUGUGGUUAAUUCGACGCAACGCGAAGAACCUUACCUGGAUUUGACAUCCCGGGAAUCUUUCUGAAAGGAUUGAGUGCCCUUCGGGGAGCCCGGUGACAGGUGCUGCAUGGCUGUCGUCAGCUCGUGUCGUGAGAUGUUGGGUUAAGUCCCGCAACGAGCGCAACCCUUAUCCCUAGUUGCCAUCAGGUAAAGCUGGGAACUCUGGGGAGACUGCCGGUGAUAAACCGGAGGAAGGCGGGAUGACGUCAAGUCCUCAUGGCCCUUACAUCCCGGGCUACACACGUGCUACAAUGGGUGGUACAAAGAGCAGCUAACUCGCGAGAGUAUGCAAAUCUCAAAAAGCCAUCCUCAGUUCGGAUUGGAGUCUGCAACUCGACUCCAUGAAGUUGGAAUCGCUAGUAAUCGCGGAUCAGCAUGCCGCGUCGAAUACGUUCCGGCCUU